GUGAAUCAUCAAAUUUUUGAACGCAAAUUGCACUCUCCUCGGAGAGUAUGCCUGUUUGAGGGUCAGCCUAUAAAAAAUCGCCAUGGUUGCUGUUUCACGGUGACGUUCGUCGGAAUUUGGGUCAUCUAAAUUCUUUUGGGUUUAGGGGAUUUAAAAUUUUCUUUUUGAUUAUAUGAACGUGUUUCAAAGAUUUAUUUCUUUACACGUUUAAG
rnacentral:misc_RNA from 1 species